UACAGAGGUGGCAAGCGUUGUCCGGAUUUACUGGGCGUAAAGAGCGCGCAGGCGGUCAAGUAAGUCGGGUGUGAAAGCCCCGGGCUCAACCUGGGAAUUGCAUUCGAGACUGCAUGGCUAGGAUGCGGAAGAGGGAAGCGGAAUUUCCGGUGUAGCGGUGAAAUGCGUAGAUAUCGGGAAGAACACCCGUGGCGAAGGCGGUUCUCUGGGACGGUACUGACGCUGAGACGCGAAAGCGUGGGGAGCGAACAGG
rnacentral:rRNA from 1 species